ACGCACACCCAGCUCCAAAAGUAUAUAUACCCUCUACCACGCAUGCAUUGACGAGGUUCUUUUCAUAAAGGACAGACAGACUUAAAACGAAAAGUUUUGCUUGCUGAAUACAUUUGUAUACCCGCGUGUGGCAAUCUACAAUGAAACGCCAAUACCUUUUCCUGCUGGUGUGCCUGGUGGUUUUUACGAUGGAUGCUGUCUGUGCAUCGCCUAUUUCGGAAAAUGUUAGUCGUGAUCGCCGAUUCACCUGCGAUAUUUGGGGAAAUGGAGUUUCGACUACUGUCUGUGCGACCUACUGCAAGCUCCUUGGCAAAAGCACUGGCUAUUGUGAUAAGAGCACUUGCAUAUGCACAACUUAAAUCUGAAGAAGAUAUCCAUUCGAAGAGAAUGCAGCUCUGCGGCAAAAUAACGGAUUAUAUCGCGUGUAUUUGAAAUUGAAUGAAUAAAAUGUUGCCGUUGCAUAUAACGUUUUGAGAUUUUAAAUU